rnacentral:piRNA from 1 species
UCUUGUGACCUGCAUUUGUCUGGUGAUG